rnacentral:SRP_RNA from 1 species
UUGGAAGAGACCUUUAGAACAGCUGGUCAUUAUGCCGACCGGGUGCCUGCACUAAGUUCAGCAUCAAUAUGGUGACCUCUUGUGAGCGGGGGGGUCACCAAGUUGCCUAAGGAUGGCUGAACUGGCCAAGGUCAGAAAGGGAGCAGGUCAGAACUCCCACAUCGACCAGUAGUGGGAGUGUGCCUGGGCGGAAUCGCAAGAUCUUGGUUCUUCAAA